GAUGAACGCUGGCGGCGGGCCUAAUACAUGCAAGUCGAGCGAACAGACGAGGAGCUUGCUCCGCUGACGUUAGCGGCGGACGGGUGAGUAACACGUGGAUAGCCUACCUAUAGGACUGGGAUAACUUCGGGAAACCGGAGCUAAUACCGGAUAAUAUAUUGAACCGCAUGGUUCAAUAGUGAAAGACGGUUGUGCUGUCACUUAUAGAUGGAUCCGCGCGGCAUUAGCUAGUUGGUAAGGGAACGGCUUACCAAGGCAACGAUGCGUAGCAGACCUGAAAGGGUCAUCGGCCAGACUGUAUGUGAGACACGGUAGACACUCCUACGGGAGGAAGCAGUCGGGAAUCCUACGCAAUGGGGGAAAGCGUGACGGAGCACAGUCGGGUAAGUCAUGACGGUCUUAGGCUCGUAAAACUAUGUUAUUCGGGAAGAACAAAUGUGUAAGCACCUAUGAACGUAUUGACGGUACCUAAUCAGAAAGCCCCGGCUAACUACGUG
rnacentral:rRNA from 1 species